rnacentral:rRNA from 1 species
GACGAACGCUGGCGGCGUGCUUAACACAUGCAAGUCGAACGGUAAGGCCCCUUCGGGGAUUAGUGGCGAACGGGUGAGUAACACGUGGGCAACCUGCCCCAGACACCGGGAUAACCAUUCGAAAGAGUGGCUAAUACCGGAUACGACCACUUUGGGCAUCCAACGGAGGUGGAAAGGAUUCUGGUCUGGGAUGGGCCCGCGGCCUAUCAGCUUGUUGGUGGGGUAAUGGCCUACCAAGGCGACGACGGGUAGCCGGCCUGAGAGGGCGACCGGCCACACUGGGACCGAGACACGGCCCAGACUCCUACGGGAGGCAGCAGUGGGGAAUAUUGCGCAAUGGGCGAAAGCCUGACGCAGCGACGCCGCGUGAGGGACGAAGGUCUUCGGAUUGUAAACCUCUUUCAGCAGGGACGAAGCGAAAGUGACUGUACCUGCAGAAGAAGCACCGGCUAACUACGUGCCAGCCGCCGCGGUAACAC